GGAGAUAUGCCGGAGCGGCCGAACGGACUUCACUGCUAAUGAAGGGUCGGGCUACAACUCGACCGGGGGUUCAAAUCCCCCUAUCUCCG
rnacentral:tRNA from 1 species